AGAGAGAGACAUGCGUGCAUAUCAAUAAGCGGAGGAAAAGAAACUAACAAGGAUUCCCCUAGUAACGGCGAGUGAAGCGGGAAGAGCUCAAAUUUGAAAUCUUAAAGGGUUUCCCUUUACGAAUUGUAGUUUAAAGAAGUGUUUUCUGUUGAGGUUUUGGUAAAAGUUCUUUGGAAUAGGACAUCAUAGAGGGUGAGAAUCCCGUAUUUGACCUUUACUUUCAACUUUGUGAUACACUUUCAAAGAGUCGGAUUGUUUGGGAAUGCAGUCCAAAAUGGGUGGUAAAUUUCAUCUAAAGCUAAAUAUUGGCGAGAGACCGAUAGCGAACAAGUACCGUGAGGGAAAGAUGAAAAGAGCUUUGAAAAGAGAGUUAAACAGUACGUGAAAUUGUCAAAAGGGAAGCGUUUGACACCAGUGUUGUUUUUCUGAAAAUCAAUUAAAGAACUGUUUAUGCUAAGUUGUUUAGACUUUAUCAGCUAACUGUUUAGUUUUGAGCUUUUCUUUAAUGCACUUUUCAGUUAACAAGUCAACAUCAAUUUCUUUUGCUGUAAAAAAGCUUGAGGAAGGUGGCUUGAGAUUCGUCUUAAGUGUUUAUAGCCUCUUGCCUAUGCAGUCGGAGAGAUUGAGGUCUGCAGCGUAGAUCCUUCGGGGCUAAAUGCAUUUGUGCUAAGUUAUAGCAUUUUAUAGACAACUUGUUGACUAUGAUUUGUCUUGUAGCUUACUCGCUUAUGUUAUUUUACCUACGCUUAGGAUGUUGACGCAUGAGAUAUACGC
rnacentral:rRNA from 1 species